AGUGAGGCCGGGGCUGGAACUCUUCCCACGGCCUCCCGCCCGGGCUCUCCACCCUCUUCCACGGGCAGCCCGCGUGGCAGUCCCUGCUCUGUGAUGGGUGGUGGGCUGCAGGUGGCUCCCAGGCACGCGGCGGCUCUGGCAGCCGCAGGUGGGUGAUGACCCGACAAGUGAAGCAACACUCAAUUCUUUGGAACUCUUUCAUUCUCCUGUGUCCACCCCCGGAGAGGCUCCUCUGGGGCCCGGAGGCUGGCUCCGCCUGCUGGGCUGUGUUUCGCAAGAGGACUCCUCUGACACCGAGCGCCAGUGUGUGUCCCGGGAAAGCGUCCACAUCUGGGGGCACAUUCCAGCCUGCUGGGAAGAUAAGACGCCGAACAAGCCAUUCAGCCCAGCCGCCAUCCACCAAUCCACGUCCCCGCCUGCAUCCGACAGUCACUGGGCACCUGUUCGCCACCCAUCAGCAGUUGAGGGCAAGAUGAACGGGGCACCGGAGCCCUCCAAGUGAGCUCGGGGUGAGCGACCCAGCCGGGAACACAAACGGGUCAAGUCCAGCUAAUGGGGAGGGCUUGGAGGGCCGUGGGAAAAGCAUUCUGCUCCACCAUUCUGCUCCGCAUGCACGCCGGAAGGUGGGAACCAGCCACGUGGCCGCCAAUGGUGUGAGAACGGAUGCACGCAAUGUGGUCUGUCCACGCGCUCAGACAUGUGCUACAUGUGCUACAUGUGUAUGGACGCUCCACGUGAACAUGAUGCUCAGGGAGAGAGGCCAGACGCAGAGGGCUUCACACUGUACGAUGUGUGCGAACGUCCAGAACACAGCAGCCCACGGGACAGGAAGCAGAGUGGUAGCGGCCGGGGCUGGGGAAGGGCGAAUGGCGCCUGAGUGCCCAGGGCGAAUGGCUGUUGCUUUGUGGGCGAUCAAAGUAUUUUGGAACCAGCAGAGGUGGUGGUGGCACCAUGGCACCAUGAAUGUACUACAUGUCACUGAA